CACACAUCACACAAAAAGACAAAAUAGAAAAACAGAUAUUUAAUGGGAGGGAACAUGUGACAAAGGAGAGGAGAAAUAUUAUUUUGGGGUGGUCCCCAUAAUCAUUUUGAUAAAAAAAGAAUGCACAUCGGAUGAGAAGGUGGAGAUUUAUUAUUUUUAGACAAGGAAAUAGGUGAGGCCCACACAUAAAGAAAAACAAAAAUAAGAAAAAGAAAAAGAAAAAGGGGACCACAUGGACACGGAAAGGGAGGAUAACAAAAAGGGGUCAUUCAUUUUCUUGGGGAGGGGGGCACAUAUAUUAUGUAAUUAAAAAAAAAAGGCAUUGAAGAUAUAGAUAGAGAAAGAGAUAGAGACACAGACAGAGAGAGAGAAAAAAAGAGGAAGGGCAUUUUCAUCAUCUUCUCCAUUUCUUGUUCCCACCGAAAACCAUCCAUCACCGCCUCCCUCUUCCCUCUUCUCCACCACAAACCACCAGCACAUAAAUAUAUAUCAUACACAGAUCGAAAAAAAAAUAUAAAUAUAGAAUACAUAAAAAGAGACCCAUUUCCAUUUUCUUCUUCACCCAUUUUUCUACUCAAUAACCCAACCACAGCCAAACACCACCGUAGCUCACUAAUCCACACCCAUCGUUAAAUCACUUCAACACCCAUUUUCUCGUAAGCAAAUUUUCAUUAAUGGAGUCUAGUUGAAAUUUUUCGAGUUGAAUUUGAGUCCGUUUGAUUCGGAUCUGAACGGAAAAAGGGUAACAAAUUGUUGUUUUGGUCGUUUUCCGGCGAGUCGAGGUCACUGGCAAGGUUUUGGUUUGAGGCGUUCUGUUCCAGAACACAUACUUUUAUAUUCAAGAAGACUUACGAGAAGUUUCAUUUGAGGGAGACAGAGAGGAGAGCUUGACCCAGAUUCGUAGUAGCUGUCAGCUGAUUUGAGAGCAGUCCAUUGUUCCGGAGGUGCCCAGGGAGACAGACUUGGCCCAUAGCCACAUUUCUAGCGGAGAUCCAUUUCAUUCGGAGCUAUAACUUUUUGUACUUAUUCUUUUGUGUACAUAUUUAUGGGCAUAGCAGGGUCCUGUCCCGCCUAUAUGAUAUGACAUACUCUCCUUAGAGGCUCGUAGACAUGUGUAUAUGGUUAGAUGUGUUUGGCUUUGUCGGCCUAUAUUUUGGAUUUCAUUUUGUUAGCCUCAUCGGCUUAUGUACAUUGAUAUGGGAAUAAAU